CCUACGGGAGGCUGCAGUAGGGAAUCUUCCACAAUGGGCGAAAUCCUGAUGGAGCAACGCCGCGUGGGUGAAGAAGGUCUUCGGAUUGUAAACCCCUGUCAUGUGGGAGCAAAUUAAAAAGAUAGUACCACAAGAGGAAGAGACGGCUAACUCUGUGCCAGCAGCCGCGGUAAUACAGAGGUAUCAAGCGUAGUUCGGAAUCACUGGGCGUAAGGCGUGCGUAGGCUGUUUCGUAAGUCGUGUGUGAAAGGCGCGGGCUCAACCCGCGGACGGCACAUGAUACUGCGAGACUAGAGUAAUGGAGGGGGAACCGGAAUUCUCGGUGUAGCAGUGAAAUGCGUAGAUAUCGAGAGGAACACUCGUGGCGAAGGCGGGUUCCUGGACAUUAACUGACGCUGAGGCACGAAGGCCAGGGGAGCGAAAGGGAUUAGAUACCCGGGUAGUC
rnacentral:rRNA from 1 species